rnacentral:rRNA from 1 species
UACAGAGGUCUCAAGCGUUGUUCGGAUUCAUUGGGCGUAAAGGGUGCGUAGGCGGCGCGCUAAGUCGGGUGUGAAAUUUCGGAGCUUAACUCCGAAACUGCAUUCGAUACUGGCGUGCUUGAGGACUGGAGAGGAGACUGGAAUUCAUGGUGUAGCAGUGAAAUGCGUAGAGAUCAUGAGGAAGACCAGUGGCGAAGGCGGGUCUCUGGACAGUUCCUGACACUGAGACACGAAGGCCAGGGGAGCAAACGGG